UACAGAGGUCCCAAGCGUUGUUCGGAUUCAUUGGGCGUAAAGGGUGCGUAGGUGGCGGGGUAAGUUGGAUGUGAAAUCUCGGGGCUCAACCCCGAAACUGCAUUCAAUACUGCUCUGCUCGAGUACUGGAGAGGAGAUCGGAAUUUACGGUGUAGCAGUGAAAUGCGUAGAUAUCGUAAGGAAGACCAGUGGCGAAGGCGGAUCUCUGGACAGUUACUGACACUGAGGCACGAAGGCCAGGGGAGCAAACAGG
rnacentral:rRNA from 1 species